GACGAACCGUGCGAACGUUGUUCGGAAUCACUGGGCUUAAAGGGCACGUAGGCGGGCACAAAAGUCAGAGGUGAAAGCCCCCGGCUCAACCGGGGAAGUGCCUUUGAUACUGUGUGUCUCGAGGGGGGAUAGGGGGCGUGCGGAACUUCCGGUGGAGCGGUGAAAUGCGUAGAUAUCGGAAGGAACACCGGUGGCGAAAGCGGCGCGUGGAUCCCUUCUGACGCUGAGGCGCGAAAGCCAGGGGGAGCGAACGGGG
rnacentral:rRNA from 1 species